rnacentral:rRNA from 1 species
AGUGAACGCUGGCGGUAGGCCUAACACAUGCAAGUCGAACGGCAGCACAGUAAGAGCUUGCUCUUACGGGUGGCGAGUGGCGGAUGGGUGAGGAAUAUAUCGGAAUCUACUUUUUCGUGGGGGAUAACGUAGGGAAACUUACGCUAAUCCCGCAUACGACCUACGGGUGAAAGCAGGGGAUCUUCGGACCUUGCGUGAUUGAAUGAGCCGAUGUCGGAUUAGCUAGUUGGCGGGGUAAAGGCCCACCAAGGCGACGAUCCGUAGCUGGUCUGAGAGGAUGAUCAGCCACACUGGAACUGAGACACGGUCCAGACUCCUACGGGAGGCAGCAGUGGGGAAUAUUGGACAAUGGGCGCAAGCCUGAUCCAGCCAUACCGCGUGGGUGAAGAAGGCCUUCGGGUUGUAAAGCCCUUUUGUUGGGGAAGAAAAGCAGCAGGUUAAUACCCCGCUGUUCUGACGGUACCCAAAGAAUAAGCACCGGCUAACUUCGUG